AUGUCACCAUCAAUGUCAACAUCUUCUCCAAUUUCUGAAUGUUUUGAAUCGAUUGUGCUGGAAUCAGUUUUACCAUUACAUGAUGUUAUGGAACCAGAUUCAAAUAAAGAGAUCAUAGUUGAAGAGAAAUAUGAUUAUCUACCACAAGACAAUACAUUGACCGAUCAUGAUCUAUGUGCUCAUAUAGCAACAGAGUCAUCUUUCAGAAAACAAUUGUUGGUUCAGAUCGAUGGAACUUCUGUGUUACAAAAUCAGUUGAUGUGUCUGCUAGAUGAAAAAGAGUGGGUAAAUGAUGAUGUGAUCAAUGCAUAUAUAUGUUGUAUGAAGGACCAAAUACAUGUCCAGAAUGACAAUAAAGUAUAUUUGAAGAUAUGA
rnacentral:rRNA from 1 species